GACGAACGCUGGCGGCGUGCUUAACACAUGCAAGUCGAACGGAAAGGCCCUGCUUUUGUGGGGUGCUCGAGUGGCGAACGGGUGAGUAACACGUGAGUAACCUGCCCUUGACUUUGGGAUAACUUCAGGAAACUGGGGCUAAUACCGGAUAGGAGCUCCUGCUGCAUGGUGGGGGUUGGAAAGUUUCGGCGGUUGGGGAUGGACUCGCGGCUUAUCAGCUUGUUGGUGGGGUAGUGGCUUACCAAGGCUUUGACGGGUAGCCGGCCUGAGAGGGUGACCGGCCACAAUGGGACUGAGAUACGGCCCAGAAUGCUACGGGAGGCAGCAGUGGGGAAUAUUGCACAAUGGGCGGAAGCCUGAUGCAGCAACGCCGCGUGCGGGAUGACGGCCUUCGGGUUGUAAACCGAUUUCGCCUGUGACGAAGCGUGAGUGACGGUAAUGGGUAAAGAAGCACCGGCUAACUACGUG
rnacentral:rRNA from 1 species